rnacentral:rRNA from 1 species
GUAGUUUGCUACACCGUAUUCUGUGAGUUGCGAACGGGUGAGUAACGCGUAGGUAACCUGCCUGGUAGCGGGGGAUAACUAUUGGAAACGAUAGCUAAUACCGCAUAAUAACGUUUACUGCAUGGUAGAUGUUUAAAAGGUGCAAAUGCAUCACUACCAGAUGGACCUGCGUUGUAUUAGCUAGUAGGUGAGGUAACGGCUCACCUAGGCGACGAUACAUAGCCGACCUGAGAGGGUGAUCGGCCACACUGGGACUGAGACACGGCCCAGACUCCUACGGGAGGCAGCAGUAGGGAAUCUUCGGCAAUGGGGGGAACCCUGACCGAGCAACGCCGCGUGAGUGAAGAAGGUUUUCGGAUCGUAAAGCUCUGUUGUUAAAGAAGAACGAGUGUGAGAGUGGAAAGUUCAUACUGUGACGGUACUUAACCAGAAAGGGACGGCUAACUACGUGCCAGCAGCCGCGGUAAUACGUAGGUCCCGAGCGUUGUCCGGAUUUAUUGGGCGUAAAGCGAGCGCAGGCGGUUAGAUAAGUCUGAAGUUAAAGGCUGUGGCUCAACCAUUGUACGCUUUGGAAACUGUUUAACUUGAGUGCAGAAGGGGAGAGUGGAAUUCCAUGUGUAGCGGUGAAAUGCGUAGAUAUAUGGAG